UGGGGAAUUUUGGACAAUGGGGGCAACCCUGAUCCAGCCAUGCCGCGUGAGUGAAGAAGGCCUUCGGGUUGUAAAGCUCUUUUGGUCGGGAAGAAAGGCUCCUCGCUAAUACCGGGGGGUGUUGACGGUACCGGCAGAAUAAGCACCGGCUAACUACGUGCCAGCAGCCGCGGUAAUACGUAGGGUGCGAGCGUUAAUCGGAAUUACUGGGCGUAAAGCGUGCGCAGGCGGUUCGUUAAGUCUGAUGUGAAAGCCCCGGGCUCAACCUGGGAAUGGCAUUGGAAACUGGCGGGCUCGAGUAUGGCAGAGGGGGGUGGAACUCCACGUGUAGCAGUGAAAUGCGUAGAGAUGUGGAAGAACACCGAUGGCGAAGGCAGCCCCCUGGGCCAAUACUGACGCUCAGGCACGAAAGCGUGGGGAGCAAACA
rnacentral:rRNA from 1 species